AUCUGCCCACAAACAGACAUGAGGCCAUUUACAAAUAAGUUAUUUUCAGCUUUCUGAAUGAGUACGAUUGUGGGAUACAUAACAGUAGCCUCACUGAAGGUAAACAUGAGAGGCUAAUCGAUGAGCACUAAAUGAGGUAAGUAUAUGAGGUAAGUAGGUCAGCAGUCAGAUAGGCCGACUCUAAUACCUAAAACACAAGCAGAAAACCCUGAUAAAACGUUCAUGUUUUAAUACAUAAGAGGAGCAUUGAGGCCGUGUUCAGAGAGCUGCAGGUCGGGGAGCUGAGUGGUCGGACCGUCUCGAUGUGUUGCUAGGCAAACUAACUCUUCUGAAGCACAUGUGUUCCCGAACUGCGGCAAACGGCGAGCCGCGCCCCCCGACGCCUCACCAAGGGGGGCCCGGACCCCGACAGCAAGGCGGCGGAUACAGUACGUGACGUCACUCAACAUGGCAACACACGGAGGUGUGGACAGUGAUGCGAUGUUUUUAAGAUCCCAAUUAUUCAAAGUUAACCAUGCAAUUAAUCGAAAAACCAACAAAAGUAGUGCGUGUUAUCUAUUCAAGACAAUGAACACUGUAGUUUAGGAAAUACCAGCUUUAUGCCGAACGAAGUGUGAAUAUAACGCCCACCUCGCGAGGCAGCGUGGCCCGCGAGAUGCUGCUGCGCGCCCAUUUUACGACCUGCUCCACGAGCCUCCGAGAAGAGCCCUAUGAACGGCAUUACAAUCACAAAUAAACCACGAGCCUCCUUUACAUUCAGAUAUAACAUACACAACGACUCAUCUGAUGUGGAGACCCUCUGAUGGAUGCCCAUCAGCCCGUCGCACCGACGAAACACGGAAAGUCUUCAAAAUGUUGCACCUUGUGCAUGUUCUGGUUCAUAACUGGUUCACUUAUCUCUAAAUGGGCGAUGGUUCCCAGCACCCUCGAAUCUGCUUUUGAAUAACAACCUAAAUGUAAACAGUAUACUCCAAAAUCCCGCCAAGGUUUAAACAUUUAAUUGCAAAAUAAACCUUUUAACAUUA